AGAACGAACGCUGGCGGCAUGCCUAAUACAUGCAAGUCGAACGAAGGCUUCGGCCUUAGUGGCGCACGGGUGCGUAACGCGUGGGAAUCUGCCCCUUGGUUCGGAAUAACAGUUGGAAACGACUGCUAAUACCGGAUGAUGACGAAAGUCCAAAGAUUUAUCGCCAAGGGAUGAGCCCGCGUAGGAUUAGCUAGUUGGUGAGGUAAAGGCUCACCAAGGCGACGAUCCUUAGCUGGUCUGAGAGGAUGAUCAGCCACACUGGGACUGAGACACGGCCCAGACUCCUACGGGA
rnacentral:rRNA from 1 species